UUGAACACAAUUGUCUGCAGGCGACGUUCAAGGAAGUUCUCCACAGUCAAAGCCAAAACAUAAUCAAGCUUGUUCUGACCCUCUUCCAAGAGCCCGUACCGGUUCAUCCUCCGGAGGAGAGCCUCGCCCUCGAAGAUACGACGAGGGUUCUUCUCAUCCAGGGUCAGAAGCAUCCUUGCAUUGUUCCUGAUACGGCUCAGAGCAUACUGAACCCUCCACAGCUCUCUCUUGCACCGGAGCCCAUACUCUCCAACAAGCUUCAGCUCAGCAUCCAAACGCUCCUUCUCAUAGGGGCGAC
rnacentral:lncRNA from 1 species